rnacentral:miRNA from 1 species
UGGCCCUAACUAUGAUAGAACAUGAGAAUGCUGUGAACAUGGUAGCACACAUCUAUGAUCCCAGCACUCUGGGAGGCUGAGGCAGGAGGAU